CGGACGGGUGAGUAGUGUCUGGGAAACUGCCCGAUGGAGGGGGGUAACUACUGGAAACGGUAGCUAAUACCGCAUAACGUCGCAAGACCAAAGAGGGGGACCUUCGGGCCUCUUGCCAUCGGAUGUGCCCAGAUGGGAUUAGCUAGUAGGUGGGGUAACGGCUCACCUAGGCGACGAUCCCUAGCUGGUCUGAGAGGAUGACCAGCCACACUGGAACUGAGACACGGUCCAG
rnacentral:rRNA from 1 species